AAACUUAAAGGAAUUGACGGGGGCCCGCACAAGCGGUGGAGUAUGUGGUUUAAUUCGACGCAACGCGAAGAACCUUACCAGGGCUUGACAUUGAGUGAAAGACUAAGAGAUUAGUUCCUAUCUUCGGAUACACGAAAACAGGUGGUGCAUGGCUGUCGUCAGCUCGUGUCGUGAGAUGUUGGGUUAAGUCCCGCAACGAGCGCAACCCUUAUCCUUUGUUGCCAGCGAGUAAUGUCGGGAACUCAAGGGAGACUGCCGUCGACAAGACGGAGGAAGGCGGGGAUGACGUCAAGUCAUCAUGCCCCUUAUGUCCUGGGCUACACACGUACUACAAUGGGCUUAAACAAAGCGAAGCAAGACCGCGAGGUCAAGCAAAACGCAUAAACAAGCUCUCAGUUCGGAUCGGAGGCUGCAACUCGCCUCCGUGAAGUCGGAAUCGCUAGUAAUCGCAGGUCAGCAUACUGCGGUGAAUACGUUCCCGGGCCUUGUACACACCGCCCGUCACACCACGAAAGUUGACAACACCCGAAGCCGGUGGGGUAACCAGCAAUGGAACUAGCCGUCUAAGGUGGGGCCGAUGAUUGGGGUGAAGUCGUAACAAGGUAGCCGUAUCGGAAGGUGCGGCUGGAUCACCUCCUUU
rnacentral:rRNA from 1 species